rnacentral:rRNA from 1 species
GAUGAACGCUGGCGGCGUGCCUAAUACAUGCAAGUCGAGCGAACAGACGUGGAGCUUGCUCCUCUGACGUUAGCGGCGGACGGGUGAGUAACACGUGGAUAACCUACCUAUAAGACUGGGAUAACUUCGGGAAACCGGAGCUAAUACCGGAUAAUAUAUUGAACCGCAUGGUUCAAUAGUGAAAGACGGUUUUGCUGUCACUUAUAGAUGGAUCCGCGCCGCAUUAGCUAGUUGGUAAGGUAACGGCUUACCAAGGCAACGAUGCGUAGCCGACCUGAGAGGGUGAUCGGCCACACUGGAACUGAGACACGGUCCAGACUCCUACGGGAGGCAGCAGUAGGGAAUCUUCCGCAAUGGGCGAAAGCCUGACGGAGCAACGCCGCGCGAGUGAUGAAGGUCUUCGGAUCGUAAAACUCUGUUAUUAGGGAAGAACAAAUGUGUAAGUAACUAUGCACGUCUUGACGGUACCUAAUCAGAAAGCCACGGCUAACUACGUG